rnacentral:rRNA from 1 species
GGCAGGGUCUCCUCGGUGAUGGUCCUACGUGUUGAAUUCCGAGAAAUCGUGCGUGAGAGCCGUAUUCUUGCACCGAAUCAAGAGGGUAGAUGUUUUGGGAUUCUAGGUUAAAGCGCUAGCCGGAUUAGUUCACGGCGAUUCUUAAGUUCAUCUGCACGCUUUGAUCUGGUAUCUUGAGUAUGAGAGGUAGUCGAGUCCGAGGUAGAGUGAAAUUCGUAGAAUUUUGGAGGAACACCCAGGGUGGACAGGGGGUUUUAUUGUUCUUUUCUCGCUGAGGUGUGAGAAAGCGGGGAGCAGCACACAAGCAUAUAUCCCGUAGUACACACGUCGUAAACGAAAAUUUACGUCGUGCAGUAUACUGCUCGUUGGUGCAGCUAACACAUCAAACAUCCAUCCUGCCGAGUACGGUGGCAAGAUUAAAACUCAAAGAAAUAGACGGGGGCCCGCACAAGCGGUGGAGCAUGUGGUUUAAUUAGAAGCAACGCGCAGAACCUUACCAGCUCUUGACAUUCGGGGUUUGGGCAGUGGAGACAUUGUCCUUCAGUUAGGCUGGCCCCAGAACAGGUGCUGCAUGGCUGUCGUCAGCUCGUGUCGUGAGAUGUUGGGUUAAGUCCCGCAACGAGCGCAACCCUCGCCCUUAGUUGCCAGCAUUUAGUUGGGCACUCUAAGGGGACUGCCGGUGAUAAGCCGAGAGGAAGGUGGGGAUGACGUCAAGUCCUCAUGGCCCUUACGGGCUGGGCUACACACGUGCUACAAUGGUGGUGACAGUGGGCAGCGAGACAGCGAUGUCGAGCUAAUCUCCAAAAGCCAUCUCAGUUCGGAUUGCACUCUGCAACUCGAGUGCAUGAAGUUGGAAUCGCUAGUAAUCGCAGAUCAGCAUGCUGCGGUGAAUACGUUCCCGGGCCUUGUACACACCGCCCGUCACACCAUGGGAGUUGGUUUUACCCGAAGGUAGUGCGCUAACCGCAAGGAGGCAGCUAACCACGGUAGGGUCAGCGACUGGGGUGAAGUCGUAACAAGGUAGCCG